CCGGCGACCGGCGCACGGGUGAGUAACACGUAUGCAACCUGCCCUCUUCAGGGGGACAACCUUCCGAAAGGGAGGCUAAUCCCGCGUAUAUCGGUUUCGGGCAUCCGAGAUCGAGGAAAGAUUCAUCGGAAGAGGAUGGGCAUGCGCGCAUUAGCUAGACGGCGGGGUAACGGCCCACCGUGGCGACGAUGCGUAGGGGUUCUGAGAGGAAGGUCCCCCACACUGGUACUGAGACACGGACCAGACUCCUACGGGAGGCAGCAG
rnacentral:rRNA from 1 species